CUCACAGAGCUUAUUGAAAACCCAAAAAUAAGAACACCAAAGUUGACCAAACAUUCCCACCAAUAUUCUUCAAAGCCGAUGAUAUCCAUAAACAAUAUAUAUGGUUUUAAAGAGCUAGGUUUAGGGUUUGAUGGACCCUUUUCCUCCGUCUGUUUCACACCUUCUCCGUGUCGAUUACCUGCCGUUGCUUGAACGCAUUUGCGUGGUGAGAGUACAGCCUGAACGAACCUGUUUUUUGAUGUUCCCUCCGCCAAAGUCGUAUUCUUGAAUAACAUCUUGCGUGAACGAUUCUUUUUCUCCUCAUUACCAAUGGCAAUUCCCAUAUCACCUGCAUCCCCUAGGUAAUUGAUAACCUCCUUGGUCUCGUCCAAAACCUCCUGUAAAUUAUCAGGUUCCUCAACUUCUCCAUCAGUGAGGUUCUGGAACUCAUCAUCACCACUAAUAACCUUUUCAUUGCCCUCUACAUCAAUCCUAGUUUCAUCAAACUCCAUUACAUCCUCCACUACACUAUGAUUCCACCCCCACUCCGUCCAUUAGGAUCCACUGUCACCAAGCAAUCAUAUCCAACAUGUGAUUGAAACUUUUGUACAAAUUCAAAACUCUGCUUAGUUUCUGAUAAAAAUAAAAAAUCAGGUUUAUGUUUAUGCCAAAUUUCUCGAAGAUAACUUAUUGUCCAAUGACUCCCCAUUCCUCGACAAUUCCAACUUAGAAUCUUCAUAAAAUUACAAUUUGAUCAUGCUCCCGAGAGCUAGAAAAUGGGCCUUGAAGAUACCCAACCAUUUUAAACAAAUUAAAUUCCAAAAACUCCCAUCCGAAAGAGAGUACCCAAUAGUCCUGAACCAAUCCAAAAACCAGUACCAAAUGGUCUUGAACCAAUUUUAAAAAAUUGUCCCACCACCAUGAUACGCGACUACGUCGGGGCCCACUACUGCAACAUCUUGUAUCGAUAUAUUGACUAUACCACCAUUUCCAUUUUCUCUAGUACACAGACCCGCCAACCUUGAGAAUCCAUCGAACCCUAAAAAAUCGCCGUCGCCAUAGUCUUUUUUUUUACGCCCUUCAAAAAAAAAUGAAACUCUCUCUUUUCCUUAGAAACCUGCAAACACGCUUUUGGACUAACUUGCAAACACUUUUAAGCAAAUUUUCCAACAAACUUCAUGGUUUUAGGAGUUCAACAAGAUGCAAAGUUUCGAAUCACGGCCGUCCUUCUAAGAGACACAGACAAGGAUGUGGUUAGGUAUGGGCACGGAUCGGAUAUCCGGGUUUUUGAAAGUAUUUGUGAUUUGGUUCGUAUGUCACAAAUAUCUAAUUUUUCGAAUUGUUUUGCUUCAAAAAAAUACGGAUAUUCGGAAAAACAUAUAUCCGAAAAAUAAAUAGAUAUUUGCGGACAUUUGCGGAUAUUUACGGAUAUCUCAUAUGUUUUGAUUAAUACAAAUAAUCUUAAAAUUUUGAUACAAAUUUUUUUUUGUAAAAUAUUUUUCUGCAGGAUAUAUAUGAUAAAAAUUAAAAUAAGUAGGGAAUCUACGUAGGUUGUAAAUUUUUUGAACUUAGUUAACAAUUAUAAUAACACAAAACUUAAGAAAAAAUUAUAAUUGUCAUAAAUAUGUUCUUUUCCUUUUAUGUAAUACUUUUAUAUAAAUAAUAAUAUGAAUAUAAUUUAUAAAACUAAAUAUUCCAAUACAUCACGAUAUCAUAAUUACUAACAUGAAGAAACGCCAGAAACAAAAGGUCAAAAUGAAGCCAAGAAGCCUCAACAGUACUACAAAAUGAUAUGCUCACAGAGCUUAUUGAAAACCCAAAAAUAAGAACACCAAAGUUGACCAAACAUUCCCACCAAUAUUCUUCAAAGCCGAUGAUAUCCAUAAACAAUAUAUAUGGUUUUAAAGAGCUAGGUUUAGGGUUUGAUGGACCCUUUUCCUCCGUCUGUUUCACACCUUCUCCGUGUCGAUUACCUGCCGUUGCUUGAACGCAUUUGCGUGGUGAGAGUACAGCCUGAACGAACCUGUUUUUUGAUGUUCCCUCCGCCAAAGUCGUAUUCUUGAAUAACAUCUUGCGUGAACGAUUCUUUUUCUCCUCAUUACCAAUGGCAAUUCCCAUAUCACCUGCAUCCCCUAGGUAAUUGAUAACCUCCUUGGUCUCGUCCAAAACCUCCUGUAAAUUAUCAGGUUCCUCAACUUCUCCAUCAGUGAGGUUCUGGAACUCAUCAUCACCACUAAUAACCUUUUCAUUGCCCUCUACAUCAAUCCUAGUUUCAUCAAACUCCAUUACAUCCUCCUCUACACUAUGAUUCCCAUUUCCGACCAUAUCAUUACCCAACUCUAAAUCAUUCUCAGGGCCCAGAGAUACCUUCAGAUUCGAUUUGCCUUGCCUCUCUUUCCUGGACUUUCCAGAUCUCCAUAAAAUCCUUCGAGAAUCCAUAAGCUCCUUUCGCUUCCAUCCUCCACUGAAACCGUCAUGAAGAUGAAGAUUUACUCUCUGAGAACCACUUAAAACCUUUCGAUUGCCCCUUUGAAGCCUUAGAUCUCCGGGAUCCCAACCUUGAGAAUCCAUCGAACCCUAAAAAAUCGCCGUCGCCAUAGUCUUUUUUUUUACGCCCUUCAAAAAAAAAUGAAACUCUCUCUUUUCCUUAGAAACCUGCAAACACGCUUUUGGACUAACUUGCAAACACUUUUAAGCAAAUUUUCCAACAAACUUCAUGGUUUUAGGAGUUCAACAAGAUGCAAAGUUUCGAAUCACGG
rnacentral:lncRNA from 1 species